rnacentral:rRNA from 1 species
GAUGAACGCUAGCGGGAGGCUUAACACAUGCAAGUCGAGGGGCAGCACGAGGUAGCAAUACUUUGGUGGCGACCGGCGCACGGGUGAGUAACGCGUAUGCAACCUACCCUGUACAGGGGGAUAACCCGGAGAAAUUCGGACUAAUACCCCAUAAUUUUAUUAAAGGGCAUCCUUUGAUAAUUAAAGUUCCGGCGGUACAGGAUGGGCAUGCGUAACAUUAGCUAGUUGGUAGGGUAACGGCCUACCAAGGCUACGAUGUUUAGGGGUCCUGAGAGGGUGAUCCCCCACACUGGUACUGAGACACGGACCAGACUCCUACGGGAGGCAG